UCGACCCAGAAUCUGUCCACUAUCAGCCUAGUCCAACACUACCAGUUCUGUGUUCCCCUCUCGCGUGUCUGCAUCUCUAUCCUCCACCUCCAAACGAUCCACCGUACCUUGGAUAACCUAUCAAAUAAGAACCAUGCCAGCCAAGCCAUCAAGAGUUUCCUCAUCCCCUCUAAACCCAAAGUUCAGAGUAUUAUUACUCCUAUUUUCCUUCAAAAAAGGAGGGAGUGCAG
rnacentral:lncRNA from 1 species